ACGGGUGAGUAACACGUAUCCAACCUGCCGUCUACUCUUGGACAGCCUUCUGAAAGGAAGAUUAAUACAAGAUGGCAUCAUGAGUCCGCAUGUUCACAUGAUUAAAGGUAUUCCGGUAGACGAUGGGGAUGCGUUCCAUUAGAUAGUGGCGGGGUAACGGCCCACCUAGUCUUCGAUGGAUAGGGGUUCUGAGAGGAAGGUCCCCCACAUUGGAACUGAGACACGGUCCAA
rnacentral:rRNA from 1 species